CUGAACAGGCUGGUCUGAUUCAGAGAGGUUAACGUUGGUCUGGACAGGCUGGUCUGAUUCAGAGAGGUUAACGUUGGUCUGGACAGGCUGGUCUGAUUCAGAGAGGUUAACGUUGGUCUGGACAGGCUGGUCUGAUUCAGAGAGGUUAACCAUGGUCUGGACAGGCUGGUCUGAUUCAGAGAGGUUAACGUUGGUCUGGACAGGCUGGUCUGAUUCAGAGAGGUUAACAUUGGUCUGGACAGGCUGGUCUGAUUCAGAGAGGUUAACGUUGGUCUGGACAGGCUGGUCUGAUUCAGAGAGGUUAACGUUGGUCUGGACAGGCUGGUCUGAUUCAGAGAGGUUAACCAUGGUCU